rnacentral:lncRNA from 1 species
UCUCCUCCUCUCCUCUCUUCUCUUCUCCUCUCUCCUCUCCUCUCAUCCUCUCCUCCUCUCCUCCUCUCGUCUCCUCUCCUCUAUUCUCCUCUAUUCUCCUCUCUUCUCCUCUCUUCUCCUCUCCUCUCCUCCUCUCUUUUCCUCUCUUCUCCUCCUCUCCUCUCUCCUCCUCUCCUCUCAUCUCCUCUCAUCUCCUCUCUUCUCCUCUCCUCCUCUCCUCUCUUCUCCUCUCUUCUCCUCCUCUCCUCUCUCCUCCUCUAUUCUCCUCCUCUCCUCUCUUCGCUCUCUUCUUCUCCUCCUCUCCUCUCUCCUCCUCUCCUCUCUCCUCUCAUCUCCUCUCUCCUCCUCUCCUCCUCUCCUCUCUUCUCCUCUCUUCUCCUCUCUUCUCCUCUCUCCUCUCAUCCUCUCCUCCUCUCCUCCUCCCCUCGUCUCCUCUCCUCUAUUCUCCUCUAUUCACUUCUCCUCUCUUCUCCUCUCCUCUCCUCCUCUCCUCUUCUCCUCCUCUCUUCUCCUCUCCUCCUCUCCUCCUCUCCUCCUCCUCUCCUCUCCUCUCUCUAUUCUCCUCUCUUCUCCUCUCUUCUUCCUCUCUUCUCCUCUAUUCUCCUCUCUUCUCCUCUCCUCCUCCUCUCUCUCUCUUCUCCUCCUCUCCUCUCUUCUCUCUCAUCCUCUCUUCCUAUCCUCCUCGCCUCCUCUCCUCCUCCUCCUCUCUUCUCCUCUCUUCUCCUCUCUUCUCCUCCUCUCCUAAACUCCUCCUCUCCUCCUCUCCUCUCCUCUCCUUUUCUCUCUCUCCUCUCCUCUCUCCUCCUCUCGUCUCCUCCUCUCGUCUCGUCUCCUCUAUUCUCCUCUCCUCUCUUCUCCUCUCUUCUCCUCUCUCCUCUCCUCUCUCUCUCCUCUCCUCCUCUCCUCCUCUCGUCUCCUCUCUUCUAUUCUCCUCUAUUCUCCUCUCUUUUCCUCCUCUCCUCUCGUCUCCUCUCUCCUCUCUCUCUUCUCCUCCCUCUCCUCUCUUCUCCUCUCCUCUCUCCUCCUCUCCUCCUCUUCUCUCUCCUCCUCUCCUCUCCUCUCCUCUCCUUUCUUCUCCUCUCUUCUCCUCUCUUCUCCUCUCCUCCUCUCCUCUCCUCUCAUCUCCUCUCUCCUCCUCAUCUCCUCUCUUCCUCCUCUCCUCCUCUCUCCUCCUCUCCUCCUCUCCUCUCCUUUUCUUCUCUCUCCUCUCCUCUCUUCUCCUCCUCUCCUCCACUCCUCCUCUCCUCUCUCUCCUCUCCUCUCCUCUCCUCUCCUCCUCUCCUCUCCUCUCCUCUCCUCCCCUCUCCUCUCCUCUCCUCUCCUCUCGCCCCCGCAGCCUCCUGAGCACAGCUGUCUACAUGGCAGGGCUGUUUUCACUGACAGGCUGUGAGAGCCAUGAAACAGGAGGGCACCAGGGACCUGGGCCACCUCGACAACAUGCGCCCCCACAAUCUGCUGUUCACAGUGUACCCCAACCCUCUCCCUGUCUCUCUG